rnacentral:tRNA from 1 species
AGCAGCGUGGCUCAGCAGCAGAAAGAGUACUGGCUUGGGGGUCAGAAGUCAUGGGUUCGAAUCCCAGCUCUGCCA